UUCCUGGGCCAUUAGCUCAGGUGGUUAGAGCGCACCCCUGAUAAGGGUGAGGUCCCUGGUUCAAGUCCAGGAUGGCCCAUCGGGAUUGGGGGUUUAGCUCAGCUGGUAGAGCGCCUGCUUUGCAAGCAGGAUGUCAGCGGUUCGAGUCCGCUUACCUCCACUGAAUACCACCUCUUACAUAUAGUUGAAGUGGGAAAUUGUUUUGAGUCGUGUCCUAAUUUGCUCUGAGCGAAUCUAGCUUCCUAUUUUAUCCAAGAAAUAAGAUGCUGGACUCAUUGAAUUUUUAUUCAUUGUUUUCAGAGAACCUUGACAACUGCAUAGAUUAUUUUUGAAGACAAUAAGCAUCUUUAAUGAUGCAGAUUUAUUAUUUGUGCGAAUGCAUUAAAUAACAAUUCUAUUAAGCUGAUGCUUCAAUUAUUGAAGUUAUUGGUCAAGCUACAAAGGGCUCACGGAGGAUACCUAGGCACACAGAGGCGAUGAA
rnacentral:tRNA from 1 species